rnacentral:rRNA from 1 species
CCUACGGGCGGCAGCAGUGGGGAAUAUUGGGCAAUGGGCGCAAGCCUGACCCAGCAACGCCGCGUGCAGGAAGAAGGCUUUCGGGUUGUAAACUUCUUUUCUGCGGGACGAAGAAAGUGACGGUACCUCAGGAAUAAGCCACGGCUAACUACGUGCCAGCAGCCGCGGUAAUACGUAGGUGGCAAGCGUUAUCCGGAUUUAUUGGGUGUAAAGGGCGUGUAGGCGGGAAAGCAAGUCAGAUGUGACAACGCCGGGCUCAAACCUGGGACUGCAUUUGAAACUGUUUUUCUUGAGUGCGGGAGAGGCAAUCGGAAUUCCGUGUGGAGCGGUGAAAUGCGUAGAUAUACGGAGGAACACCAGUGGCGAAGGCGGAUUGCUGGACAGUAACUGACGCUGAGGCGCGAAAGCGUGGGGAGCAAACAGGAUUAGAUACCCCAGUAGUC